rnacentral:rRNA from 1 species
AGUGAACGCUGGCGGUAGGCCUAACACAUGCAAGUCGAACGGCAGCACAGUAAGAGCUUGCUCUUACGGGUGGCGAGUGGCGGACGUGUGAGGAAUACAUCGGAAUCUACUUUUUCGUGGGGGAUAACGUAGGGAAACUUACGCUAAUACCGCAUACGACCUACGGGUGAAAGCAGGGGAUCUUCGGACCUUGCGCGAUUGAAUGAGCCGGUGUCGGAUUAGCUAGUUGGCGGGGUAAAGGCCCACCAAGGCGACGAUCCGUAGCUGGUCUGAGAGGAUGAUCAGACACAGUGGGACUGAGACGCGCUCCAGACUCCUACGGGAGGCAGGUGGGGGAAAUAUUGGACAAUGGGGGCAAGCCUGAUCCAGCCAUACCGCGUGGGUGAAGAAGGCCUGCGGGUUGUAAAGCCCUUCUGUUGGGAAAGAAAAGCAGCAGGUUAAUACCCCGCUGUUCGGACGGUACCCAAAGAAUAAGCACCGGCUAACUUCGU